AGAGGCGGACGGGUGAGGAAUAUUUGGGAAUCUGCCCAUCAGCGGGGGACAACCCGGGGAAACUCGGGCUAAUACCGCAUACGCUCUACGGAGGAAAGCCGGGGACCGCAAGGCCUGGCACUGAUGGAUGAGCCCAAAUCGGAUUAGCUAGUUGGCGGGGUAACGGCCCACCAAGGCGACGAUCCGUAGCUGGUCUGAGAGGACGAUCAGCCACACCGGAACUGAGACACGGUCCGGACUCCUACGGGAGGCAGCAGUGGGGAAUAUUGGACAAUGGGGGAAACCCUGAUCCAGCGACGCCGCGUGGGUGAAGAAGACCUGCGGGUUGUAAAGCCCUUUCGGUAGGGAAGAAAUCUCUUGCUCUAACAAAGCAAGGGUUUGACUUAACCUACAUAAGAAGCACCGGCUAACUCUGUGCCAGCAGCCGCGGUAAUACAGAGGGUGCGAGCGUUAAUCGGAAUUACUGGGCGUAAAGCGCACGUAGUCGGCUUGCCAAGUCGGGUGUGAAAUCCCCGGGCUCAACCUGGGAACUGCAUCCGAAACUGGCUUGCUAGAGUAUGGGAGAGGGAGGCGGAAUUUCUGGUGUAGCAGUGAAAUGCGUAGAUAUCAGAAGGAACAUCAGUGGCGAAGGCGGCCUCCUGGACCAAUACUGACGAUCAGGUGCGAAAGCGUGGGGAGCAAACAGGAUUAGAUACCCUGG
rnacentral:rRNA from 1 species